AGAGUUUGAUCCUGGCUCAGAACGAACGCUGGCGGCAGGCUUAACACAUGCAAGUCGAACGCACCGCAAGGUGAGUGGCAGACGGGUGAGUAACGCGUGGGAACGUGCCCUUCAGUUCGGGAUAACCCAGGGAAACUUGGGCUAAUACCGGAUACGUGCGAGAGCAGAAAGAUUUAUCGCUGAAGGAUCGGCCCGCAUCUGAUUAGCUAGUUGGUAGGGUAAUGGCCUACCAAGGCGACGAUCAGUAGCUGGUCUGAGAGGAUGAUCAGCCACAUUGGGACUGAGACACGGCCCAAACUCCUACGGGAGGCAGCAGUGGGGAAUAUUGGACAAUGGGCGCAAGCCUGAUCCAGCCAUGCCGCGUGAGUGAUGAAGGCCUUAGGGUUGUAAAGCUCUUUCGUCCGGGACGAUAAUGACGGUACCGGAAGAAGAAGCCCCGGCUAACUUCGUGCCAGCAGCCGCGGUAAUACGAAGGGGGCUAGCGUUGUUCGGAAUCACUGGGCGUAAAGGGCGCGUAGGCGGCCUGAUAAGUCGGGGGUGAAAGCCUGUGGCUCAACCACAGAAUUGCCUUCGAUACUGUCGGGCUUGAGACCGGAAGAGGUAAGUGGAACUGCGAGUGUAGAGGUGAAAUUCGUAGAUAUUCGCAAGAACACCAGUGGCGAAGGCGGCUUACUGGUCCGGUUCUGACGCUGAGGCGCGAAAGCGUGGGGAGCAAACAGGAUUAGAUACCCCCGUAGUCC
rnacentral:rRNA from 2 species